UUAUGGCAGGAUUGUUCCUCUGUAUGGACACACACUCCAUGCUUAUAAAGGCCAUAUUUUUGGCUGGCAUCAUGUGAGAGGUGGGACUUGCCAUUCCAACCUUUUAAAGGCUCCUUGUACCCUUAAUCCUAGCAAUAGGAAGUUUGAUGUGAGUAAAGAUGCUCUCUCUUCACAAGCUCAGAUUGGCAUUGCUGCUGUGUGGCUUCUUGAUAUUUUGUGAGCUUAUGAGACCAAAUGCAGAAGCAACAGAAAA